rnacentral:tRNA from 1 species
UCCCUGGUGGCUCAGACAGUAAAGAAUCUGCCUGCAGUGCAGGAGACCCAGGUUCAAUCCCUGGUCAGGAAG